rnacentral:rRNA from 1 species
GAUGAACGCUAGCUACAGGCUUAACACAUGCAAGUCGAGGGGCAGCAUGGUCGAAGCUUGCUUCGACUGAUGGCGACCGGCGCACGGGUGCGUAACGCGUAUCGAACCUGCCCUAUACACGGGGAUAGCCUUGCGAAAGUAAGAUUAAUACCCGAUGCCAAGUUGAGAUCGCAUGAUUUUGAUUUGAAAGAAAUUCGGUAUAGGAUGGCGAUGCGUCUGAUUAGGUAGAUGGCGGGGUAACGGCCCACCAUGCCGACGAUCAGUAGGGGUUCUGAGAGGAAGGUCCCCCACAUUGGAACUGAGACACGGUCCAAACUCCUACGGGAGGCAGCAGGAGGAAUAUUGGUCAAUGGGCGGAAGCCUGAACCAGCCAAGUAGCGUGCAGGAAGACGGCCCUAUGGGUUGUAAACUGCUUUCAGUCGGGAAUAACUCGUCGGUCGUGACCGACGUUGCAGGUACCGUCAUAAGAAGGACCGGCUAAUUCCGUGCCAGCAGCCG